CACUUGUAUCUGGACACACACCCGGGAUUUAGGCCUGCCAAGCAGCCAUACUUACCAAACCAGUCCAAAAGAGAAAGAACAAGACUAGCCACGGUGUAUCGGUGCAUUUUCUAUAAAUUUGGGGUCGCCAUUCUCUUUGCCUUGUUUUCUCUGCAGAAACCUUCCAGGAAAACGGAGAGUUGAGAAAAGCAAGAGAAACAGUUAGGUGAAAUCAACCGAACCGAAACCUCUCCAAAGGCUGCUAAAGCAACUCAACUCUAUCACUGGGGAAGAUCAGCUCUCUGCAGGAUGGAUGUGAAACCCCCCCGGGGGCCAAGUUCUUACUAGAGGUAAGACACCCCUCACCCCCUAGUCCCUUGCGCCUUCCUGGCCUCAGCCCAACACUUGUGUCAGGUACUGGGUCCUCAGUGCCAGGUGUCUUUAAAGGAGCGGUGUCACUGAGAGAAAGUGGUUUAUCUCCCAAAGGACAGAGGAGCCGGAAGCGUCCUGUCUGUGCAGGUAGGUGCCCGCAGAGGCCGCUUCUCUCAGGACUCAAGUUGUCGCUCUUACCAGGUACUCGGCGCCCAAGCACUGCAUGGUACCCGGCAUCUGGGAUUGGCGGCGGCGGUGGUCGCCUUGCACACGGGACAGAGGUGCGGCGACCGGGCCAAGUGGCCCAGGAGGGGCGGCAGGGCGAGCAGGGCUCAGCGCCUCCUAGAGGUCCAGGGCGCUGGUCCCCUAGACACGCCCUUUCCGUGGUGGCUUUAGGCUGGGAGGACCUGCUGGGAGCGGGGGUGGCACCUGCGCAGCACCGGUUCCCAGGAAGUGCUCCUGACCACUGUGCGACGCCUGGGCCCGUUGCCAGCGCCUGGAGUUAGAAGUGAGGCCUCAGGGAUCAUUCCUGAGGGCGGGGAGCUUGCAGGGGUGUGUCACACACAGGUAAGUGGUGCUUUGUGUGUGCCGAAUCCUGCCCUGAAAGGUUCACCAGUUCUCUUCCAGGCGCAUCAAGUUGCAAUCUGUUGUCAUCCUUGAGCUAAGAUCAGACAGCAAUGGCGACACUCUGUCAAGGGGCUCAGUGUCUAUCAUUCCAGCUGCUAUUUCUAUAAGGCUGAAUCUUCUCCAGCGUGAGUCCCAGGAACACAAAGCCCUCAGAGGACUGAUUUAAUAUCUCUCUCUCUCUCUCUCUCUCUCUCUCUCUCUCUCUCUCUCUCUCUCUCUCUCUCUCUCUCUCUCUCCUGUCUUUCUCCUCUCUCCUCUCUCUCUCUCUGUCUGUCUAUCAGUAGGUCUCUUUCUCUCCCUUUUGUGUGUGGGGUGCUCACUUCCCUCCUCUUUGCAUCAUCAUCUGAUUUUCCAGUGGGCACCCUUUGAAGCACAUCCAGUGUGAAUGUCCCUGGCAAGAACAGUUUUCUCUUCAACAUUCAGGUGGGCACCAAAGCGCUGCUGAGGUGAGGAGUUUUAAAAAGGGCUGCGGAGGACUUUCCUUCUCGGUCCCCUUUCUCUGCCCCAACCCAUCUACCUGCCCCUCCACACCGUCAGGCUGCUAGCCCACUAAGUGCAGAGGUCCCGUCAUGUUUCAGAAGAUAUUAUUUCGCUCUGGUCCUCUCCGACCUUUGGCUAUUACAAUCUUUCUGCUUCCUCUUUUGGGAUGUUCUCAGAGACUUGUGUGAGUAAUUCGGUGGAAGUUAGAGGCGAAUAGCAUCAGGAUAUAUUGCAUGUAUGUAUAGAAAUAGUAAAAGAUAGUACAAAUAUUAUAUUAAAAAAUAACCAGGGAGUGGUUAGAGGGUAAUGAUCCUUAAUGGAUCUCUGCUGUGCGGGGAGGAAUCCCUUCCAGGCUAAUUAUCUUCCUUCUCACUCUUAGCUCUCAGAACAUUCCUGAAUGCAGGCUUCUCAGAACGAGUAGCUGGAUUUCCAGGGGGCCCUGAAUUCAUCCCCUAGAGUCCCCCCUUCAAGUAGACAUUUGCACAACUACAGAAAGAGCACAGUUUAGCCACAGCAUCUCAAACAAAUUAGUACCAGAACCGAUGGAUGGAGAGGCUUAAAUACACACAGCAUGUAUAUUUAUAUUUACUGUGAUGAUUACGGUAGUAUCGAUGAAGCCGGAAAAUAAAGAUGAAGCAGAACCAAAAAGCUCUGUUAGACAUGGAGAAUAAAAUGAUCAGAAUGACAGCUUAUUUGGCUCCACUUAGUAACAGUGUGGAUUAAGCCAUGGAAGAGAUGUGGCAGAAGCUGAGUAAGAAGGAACGGCAGUGUUUGCGUGACAAUCACAUCUCUUGUCACAUCUUGUCACAUCUCUUGGCCUCUGGAUAUAUGAAUGACCUGGUGAAGAAACCUCCUACUUUCAUCCACCACGUAUCUGCACCAGUCUCUUAUAUGUCUCUUACUCAAGUCUUUUAUGGUGCACACCGGUCUUCAGAAACCAUUUUCUCCUUUCAAAGUGUGAAGACAAUUCUUUGUGUUUCCCUGAAACCUGGUCCUGAUGGGUGCUAUCUGGAGAUGCUCAUUGGAGAAAAUACCAUGUGGUAGAUGUGUUUCCUUAUAUAUGACACAAGUCGUAACACUUAGAAGUGCCACUGAAUGCUUUUAGUGCCCUUUCUUAUGUAAGGUGUCAGAGUGGGAGAAAUAAUUCCAAGGCACCUGGAAAUUCCUUCCCUACAUCUUCUCCGCUGAUCAACCCUAUCUACAGUGUCUUAAAUAGACAAACCAAAAUAAAAAUUUGAGUAUAUACAGAAGGAAAACUUAAAACACCCUGAAAGAAAACUUGUGACUAAUAACUCCGUCAUUAGCUAUGAAUGCCCACUACUGGAUCCUAUUUGAAUCAAAGGCCUGGGAGCGAGGAAGAGCUGAAGCAGGGGGUUUGGAGAUUGGGAGAUGGCAUAGGACAGAGACCUGUAGGACAAAUGUCAGCCUCUUGGUGACCCGAGACUAGCACUUUCAUUGUCUAGUUGGGUAAAUGUCACGGUUGGCAGAGCUCAUUUGUCUACUCUGAAAUGUGAGAGUAGAUUUGCUCUUCACGACUACUGAAAAACAAGAAUGUCAUCUGCUUUUGCUUCUUGCCAAGUAUCUCAUACCCAUCCCAUUAGCAAUUAAUGUAUACAAAUGCUUCUAGAAAAAACAACUUGUGAUUGAUUUCCUAAAGUCUUGCUGCAUUCCGCUAUGUUUCGCUGAGCCUUUCAUGGCUGUGAUAGAUACCCACACAAACAUCGACUUAGAGAAGCAAAGAUUUAUUUUGACUCGAGGCUUCACUCUACCGUGGCUGGAGGGUUUAGGGAGCUAAGGAACUCUCUGUGAUGGCUGGAAAGCAAAGAGAAAGAACCAGGGGGCUCUCUCCUUCCUCCUGCUUGUCUCACCCGAGCCCCCUGCCUUUGGCUGGAGAAAGUCUACAUUCAAAGUGGGUGCUCCCUCAGAGUUAAUCCUUUCUGCAGGCAGAUAAACCCAGAGGAGGGCUUUCCUCCUCCCUGGCGUCCUUCCACUCUAUGUGGCGGCAAGGUGAACUGUGACAGCUUACCUAGGCCUUCUUCUCCUCUUCCACCCAACAGUUACCUUGUCUGUUUGGAGAAAAUGUGUACAGUUGCAAAGCCAGGCAAGCCACUAACCCCACUCACCACUUGGCUCUGAUUUAGAAAUUAAUACAUGGAGAUCUUCUCAGGAGAGUUUAUCUUGAAGUUUGUAAUCCAACAACUCCUCCUACCCACCCCCACCCCCACCCCCGUUCUUGUGAAGCCAUCAUCUUGGCUAUUGUAAUGGCCCUUGAGGGACAGUCACCAGAGGCUCUCAGAAGACUGGUUUCUGUCACAGGUCUGUGCCGGAGAAACAAGACUAGUAGAGUAGCCAGUCUGCAUGCAGUGGUUAUCCAAGCACCACGAGAGCAGACAGGUGGAAAUGGGUCCCAGAAGGAUUCAAAAUAUCGAUGCACCGUGUGCGUCCCAGUGGACCUGGUGUUGAAUAGAAGCCGG
rnacentral:lncRNA from 1 species